UGGUGGGUAGUUUGACUGGGGCGGUCUCCUCCUAAAGAGUAACGGAGGAGCACGAAGGUCAGCUAAUCCUGGUCGGACAUCAGGAGGUUAGUGCAAUGGCAUAAGCUGGCUUGACUGCGAGCGUGACGGCGCGAGCAGGUGCGAAAGCAGGUCAUAGUGAUCCGGUGGUUCUGAAUGGAAGGGCCAUCGCUCAACGGAUAAAAGGUACUCCGGGGAUAACAGGCUGAUACCGCCCAAGAGUUCAUAUCGACGGCGGUGUUUGGCACCUCGAUGUCGGCUCAUCACAUCCUGGGGCUGAAGUAGGUCCCAAGGGUAUGGCUGUUCGCCAUUUAAAGUGGUACGCGAGCUGGGUUUAGAACGUCGUGAGACAGUUCGGUCCCUAUCUGCCGUGGGCGCUGGAGAACUGAGGGGGGCUGCUCCUAGUACGAGAGGACCGGAGUGGACGCAUCACUGGUGUUCGGGUUGUCAUGCCAAUGGCACUGCCCGGUAGCUAAAUGCGGAAGAGAUAAGUGCUGAAAGCAUCUAAGCACGAAACUUGCCCCGAGAUGAGUUCUCCCUGACUCCUUGAGAGUCCUGAAGGAACGUUGAAGACGACGACGUUGAUAGGCCGGGUGUGUAAGCGCAGCGAUGCGUUGAGCUAACCGGUACUAAUGAACCGUGAGGCUUAACCUUAC
rnacentral:rRNA from 1 species